GUGCCAGCAGCCGCGGUAAUACGUAGGGUGCAAGCGUUAAUCGGAAAUUACUGGGCGUAAAGCGUGCGCAGGCGGUUUUAUAAGUCUGAUGUGAAAUCCCCGGGCUCAACCUGGGAACUGCAUUGGAGACUGUAAGGCUAGAGUGUGUCAGAGGGGGGUAGAAUUCCACGUGUAGCAGUGAAAUGCGUAGAUAUGUGGAGGAAUACCGAUGGCGAAGGCAGCCCCCUGGGAUAACACUGACGCUCAUGCACGAAAGCGUGGGGAGCAAACAGGAUUAGAUACCCUGGUAGUCC
rnacentral:rRNA from 1 species